GUGAGCUGGAGCACGACAUCCUGCUACGGCAGAGGAAACUCCUCCCUCCAUGCAAGAAAUAUGAUCCGGAGAUGGAUAACCAGAGAUGGUUGGCAACGGAGCAGAAAAAAUCCAACCUGGUGCACUGUGAUGGUAAAACCUGAGAUUGCCAGAGAAGGAAUGAAAGAGCCGCCCCAUAUGGAGCAAAGCCAAACAGAACCAUAGGAUCUUGCACCAGGUUCAGGUAGGCUGCAAAGCGUAAUAUCGUGAAAACAGAAGGAGGGUUACUCCCAGCACAC
rnacentral:RNase_P_RNA from 1 species